rnacentral:tRNA from 1 species
GGAGCGGUGGCCGAGUGGUCGAAGGCGCACGCCUGGAAAGUGUGUAAAGGGGCAACUCUUUCGUGGGUUCGAAUCCCACCCGCUCCGCCA